rnacentral:rRNA from 1 species
UAGGAAUUGGCGGGGGAGCACCGCAACGGGUGGAGCGUGCGGUUUAAUUGGAUUCAACGCCGGAAAACUCACCGGGGGCGACGGUUAUAUGAAGGCCAGGCUGAUGACCUUGCCUGAUUUUCCGAGAGGUGGUGCAUGGCCGUCGUCAGUUCGUACCGUGAGGCGUUCUGUUAAGUCAGACAACGAACGAGACCCUCAUCUUUUGUUGCAACUGGUAAGUUCGCUUACUAGGCACACAAGAGAGACCGCUGGCGAUAAGUCAGAGGAAGGCGAGGGCAACGGUAGGUCAGUAUGCCCUGAAUCCCCCGGGCUACACGCGCGCUACAAAGGCUAGGACAAUGGGUUUCGACACCGAAAGGUGAAGGUAAUCCCGAAACCUAGUCAUAGUUCGGAUUGAGGGUUGUAACUCACCCUCAUGAAGUUGGAAUCCGUAGUAAUCGCGGAUCAACAUUCCGCGGUGAAUAUGCCCCUGCUCCUUGCACACACCGCCCGUCAAGCCAUGCGAAUUGGGUCUGAGUGAGGAUGCAGCUAGUUGCUGCGUUCAAACUUAGGCUUAGUGAGCGGGGCGAGGUCGUAACAAGGUAACCUCAGUCAGUCA